rnacentral:rRNA from 1 species
UGGUGGAGUGAUUUGUCUGGUUAAUUCCGAUAACGAACGAGACCUUAACCUGCUAAUUAGUCUUGUUUAUUCUAUAGAUUAGACUUCUUAGAGGGACUAUGCUACAAAAAGUGCAUGGAAGUUUGAGGCAAUAACA